rnacentral:rRNA from 1 species
CUUAUUGUCUCUGGACGAUAAAAAAAAGAACAUAAAAAAGAUACAACUCUUAGCGGUGGAUAUCUU